CAGAGUAGGAUCAGCGCGUUAAGUGCUGCGGGAUGGGAAGUUGUCCGCAGACGAGCUGGAGGUUCAUUUCCACGCGAUGCUGAUCCGCAUCCGCUGC
rnacentral:ncRNA from 1 species